UGGGGAAUUUUGGACAAUGGGGGAAACCCUGAUCCAGCCAUCCCGCGUGUGCGAUGAAGGCCUUCGGGUUGUAAAGCACUUUUGGCAGGAAAGAAACGUCAUGGGUUAAUACCCCGUGAAACUGACGGUACCUGCAGAAUAAGCACCGGCUAACUACGUGCCAGCAGCCGCGGUAAUACGUAGGGUGCAAGCGUUAAUCGGAAUUACUGGGCGUAAAGCGUGCGCAGGCGGUUCGGAAAGAAAGAUGUGAAAUCCCAGAGCUCAACUUUGGAACUGCAUUUGUAACUACCGGGCUAGAGUGUGUCAGAGGGAGGGGGAAUUCCGCGUGUAGCAGUGAAAUGCGUAGAUAUGCGGAGGAACACCGAUGGCGAAGGCAGCCUCCUGGGAUAACACUGACGCUCAUGCACGAAAGCGUGGGGAGCAAACAGG
rnacentral:rRNA from 1 species